GUGAGGAAUUUUCCGCAAUGGGCGAAAGCCUGACGGAGCAAUGCCGCGUGAAGGAUGAAGGCCUAUGGGUUGUAAACUUCUUUUCUCAGAAAAGAAUUAUGACGGUAUCUGAGGAAUAAGCAUCGGCUAACUCUGUGCCAGCAGCCGCGGUAAGACAGAGGAUGCAAGCGUUAUCCGGAAUGAUUGGGCGUAAAGCGUCUGUAGGUUGUUUAAAAAGUAUUCUGUCAAAGAUUAGGGCUUAACCCUAGAUAGGCAGAAUAAACUUUUAAGCUAGAGUAUGGUAGAGGCAGAGGGAAUUCCCGGUGGAGCGGUGAAAUGCGUAGAUAUCGGGAGGAACACCAAAGGCGAAGGCACUCUGCUGUGCCAAUACUAACACUGAGAGACGAAAGCGAGGGGAGCAAAUGGGAUUAGAUACCCCUGUAGUCC
rnacentral:rRNA from 1 species